rnacentral:lncRNA from 1 species
GCCCACGCAGGAUCAGUUUGGGAAGGACGGCAUCCCGUGGGAGGGACCGCAUGUGGAGCAGGGGCAGAGAGUGACCAUGAAGGAGCGGUGGAGAUGAAGUGUUAGGAACUGACCACAGCCCCCAUUCCCAAUUUCUCUGUGCCACUUGGGGGGGAAGGAUGUAGAAGAGAGUGGAUGGGGGGAAGGUGUUUUUAGUUUCUUUAGAAAUUUGUUAAUAAGUUGACAAUUGAGAGCUAUAAUAGCAUGCACCUGUGAAAAACAGCUUGAUCAAGGAGGUAGGCAAAUGCGUACCAUAAUAAUUCAGAUAACUCACUACCAUUUGACUUUGAAACAGGAGGAGAAAACAAGCUCACAUGUGGAAAUGAGAUGCGAGGGAUUUUUGAAAAAGGUUUUAUUCAAUCAUAAUACAGCUGUGGAAAACAGGAAGUGAGAUGUCUAGUAGAAGGAGGCAGAAGUACAAAAUGCCUUGAUGGGAUCUAAACUAGCUGAUCCUUUGUAAGGAAAGUCAUAGAUGUGUAAUACAUCACCUCCCAAACACUAUGUGACAGCUGAUGGCUCGAUAAGAGUGCUUUUUCCAGCUGGCACUGGCACAACUCCCCAGAAACAGGCCGUGUCAGCAUUGCUUCCUGAGAGCUACCCUUGGCCAGCUCUGCCUGCAAACAGUUAUUCACUGGAAAGGAUAGUUUUCUACGCAGAACUAUGAAUCUCUGCUUGAAAUGCAGAAUUAAUGUUUUUCAACAACUGAUCUUCGGUAUGUUUUUAAGGUAGGAAAAGCUCUAAUCUGUAAAAACUUUUAUAUUAGUAUGUCUGGGUCCUUAAAACAUUACUGUAAGUUGAAAACAUUGGCCAAGCAUUCACUUUGCAGAUCACGUUCUCAGUUCAGUUCCCAUGGUUACCAUGAAGGAAGUGCUUGUGUAACAUCCAGCUCAGGGUAAGAUGAACCCCUGAGAUGAACAGGCAUAAAGGGAACCAUGGCGUCAGAAAGAGGCAGGCUGUAACAAGCGUGAUUGCUCUUAGAUUAAUAAUGCCUGGAGAUCUUCCAAGAGUACUGUUUCUUAAUGAUAGUGAACCAAUUAAUAGGUAGUGUGAUAAUGAUAAAAAUUAAGAUGCUUCUUGGGGAAGGGAAGAGUUGAUUUAAGAACUGCUGGAAACACUUCGUCAUUUUCUAUGAUUCAGGGGACAUAGGAUAGUUUUCACCCAUAA